GAUGAACGCUGGCGGCGUGCCUAAUACAUGCAAGUCGAGCGAACAGACGAGGAGCUUGCUCCUCUGACGUUAGCGGCGGACGGGUGAGUAACACGUGGAUAACCUACCUAUAAGACUGGGAUAACUUCGGGAAACCGGAGCUAAUACCGGAUAAUAUAUUGAACCGCAUGGUUCAAUAGUGAAAGACGGUUUUGCUGUCACUUAUAGAUGGAUCCGCGCCGCAUUAGCUAGUUGGUAAGGUAACGGCUUACCAAGGCAACGAUGCGUAGCCGACCUGAGAGGGUGAUCGGCCACACUGGAACUGGGACACGGUCCAGACUCCUACGGGAGGCAGCAGUAGGGAAUCUUACGCAAUGGGGGAAAGCCUGACGGAGCAACGCCGCGUGAGUGAUGAAGGUCUUCGGAUCGUAAAACUCUGCUAUUAGGGAAGAACAAAUGUGUAAGUAACUAUGCACGUCUUGACGGUACCUAAUCAGAAAGCCACGGCUAACUACGUG
rnacentral:rRNA from 1 species